GACGUAGGGGGCGAGCGUUGUCCGGAUUCAUUGGGUUUAAAGGGUGCGCAGGCGGGAAAUUAAGUCAGGGGUGAAAGACGGUUGCUCAACAAUCGCAGUGCCUUUGAUACUGGUUUUCUUGGGUGACCUUGAGGUAGGCGGAAUGGGUGGUGUAGCGGUGAAAUGCAUAGAUACCACCCAGAACUCCGAUUGCGAAGGCAGCCUACUGGAGGUUAACCGACGCUCAGGCACGAAAGCGUGGGGAUCAAACAGG
rnacentral:rRNA from 1 species